rnacentral:rRNA from 1 species
AGCAGUAGGGAAUCUUCCACAAUGGACGCAAGUCUGAUGGAGCAACGCCGCGUGAGUGAAGAAGGGUUUCGGCUCGUAAAGCUCUGUUGGUAGUGAAGAAAGAUAGAGGUAGUAACUGGCCUUUAUUUGACGGUAAUUACUUAGAAAGUCACGGCUAACUACGUGCCAGCAGCCGCGGUAAUACGUAGGUGGCAAGCGUUGUCCGGAUUUAUUGGGCGUAAAGCGAGUGCAGGCGGUUCAAUAAGUCUGAUGUGAAAGCCUUCGGCUCAACCGGAGAAUUGCAUCAGAAACUGUUGAACUUGAGUGCAGAAGA